AGUGAACGCUGGCGGUAGGCCUAACACAUGCAAGUCGAACGGCAGCACAGUAAGAGCUUGCCCUUACGGGUGGCGAGUGGCGGACGGGUGAGGAAUACAUCGGAAUCUACUUUUUCGUGGGGGAUAACGUAGGGAAACUUACGCUAAUACCGCAUACGACCUACGGGUGAAAGCAGGGGAUCUUCGGACCUUGCGCGAUUGAAUGAGCCGAUGUCGGAUUAGCUAGUUGGCGGGGUAAAGGCCCACCAAGGCGACGAUCCGUAGCUGGUCUGAGAGGAUGAUCAGCCACACUGGAACUGAGACACGGUCCAGACUCCUACGGGAGGCAGCAGUGGGGAAUAUUGGACAAUGGGCGCAAGCCUGAUCCAGCCAUACCGCGUGGGUGAAGAAGGCCUUCGGGUUGUAAAGCCCUUUCGUUCGGAAAGAAAAGCAGCAGGUUAAUACCCCGCUGUUCUGACGGUACCCAAAGAAUAAGCACCGGCUAACUUCGUG
rnacentral:rRNA from 1 species